rnacentral:rRNA from 1 species
GCUAUAAUUGUCAGCUAAGUGGCGCACGGGUGAGUAAUGUAUAGAUAACCUGCCCUUAAGAAAGGAAUAACAGUUGGAAACGACUGCUAAUGCCCUAUAUGCCUUUAAUACAUAAGUAUGCAAGGGAAACGCUUUAGUGCUUAAGGAUGGGUCUGUAUGGUAUCAGCUUGUUGGUGAGGUAAUGGCUCACCAAGGCUAUGACGCCUAACUGGUUUGAGAGGAUGAUCAGUCACACUGGAACUGAGACACGGUCCAGACUCCUACGGGAGGCAGCAGUGGGGAAUAUUGCACAAUGGACGAAAGUCUGAUGCAGCAACGCCGCGUGGAGGAUGACACAUUUCGGUGCGUAAACUCCUUUUAUAUAGGAAGAUAAUGACGGUACUAUAUGAAUAAGCACCGGCUAACUCCGUGCCAGCAGCCGCGGUAAUACGGAGGGUGCAAGCGUUACUCGGAAUCACUGGGCGUAAAGAGCGUGUAGGCGGGUAUAUAAGUCAGAAGUGAAAUCCAAUAGCUCAACUAUUGAACUGCUUUUGAAACUGUAUACCUAGAAUGUGGGAGAGGUAGAUGGAAUUUCUGGUGUAGGGGUAAAAUCCGUAGAGA